AGAUCCUACGGGAGGCAGCAGUGGGGAAUAUUGCACAAUGGGGGAAACCCUGAUGCAGCAACGCCGCGUGAGUGAAGAAGGUUUUCGGAUUGUAAAGCUCUGUCAGCAGGGAAGAAAAUGACGGUACCUGACUAAGAAGCCCCGGCUAAAUACGUGCCAGCAGCCGCGGUAAUACGUAUGGGGCAAGCGUUAUCCGGAUUUACUGGGUGUAAAGGGAGCGCAGGCGGCUUGGCAAGUCUGAUGUGAGAGGCUGGGGCUCAACCCCAGGACUGCAUUGGAAACUGUUAGGCUGGAGUGUCGGAGAG
rnacentral:rRNA from 1 species